AUCCUUUGAGACUCUAGAGAUAGAGCUUUCCCUUCGGGGACAAAGUGACAGGUGGUGCAUGGUUGUCGUCAGCUCGUGUCGUGAGAUGUUGGGUUAAGUCCCGCAACGAGCGCAACCCUUAUUACUAGUUGCCAGCAUUUAGUUGGGCACUCUAGUGAGACUGCCGGUGACAAACCGGAGGAAGGUGGGGACGACGUCAAAUCAUCAUGCCCCUUAUGACCUGGGCUACACACGUGCUACAAUGGAUGGUACAACGAGUCGCGAGACCGCGAGGUUUAGCUAAUCUCUUAAAACCAUUCUCAGUUCGGAUUGUAGGCUGCAACUCGCCUACAUGAAGCCGGAAUCGCUAGUAAUCGCGGAUCAGCAUGCCGCGGUGAAUACGUUCCCGGGUCUUGUACACACCG
rnacentral:rRNA from 2 species